UGAUGCAGACGCCCUUUUGGAUUUCUUUUUAAUAGUGUGUGACCCUUCAUCUUUGAUCCCUUGACCUGCAUUACUUUGGUUUGGCUUGUCUGCUUUUCAGCUCUUCUAGACAUUGGAAAUUCCAGUUUGUGUUUAUUUUCUCUGGAUUCCUUCCCACAAGACAGAAGUGAAUUCAGCACGGAUUAUUGGGGAGAGCCUUGGCUGGGAAUAAGGAUAAUUGCAGUCUCUGGCUGCGCCACAGUUUCACUGAUGAUUUCUUUUAAGUUACUCACCUGCACUGUUAUCUGUUUCCUCAGCUGUAAAAUGUGGGUAAUUACCUCCAUUGUAAAAUGUUACAGGGUCUGCUGGUAAUUAUAUGAACGAAGCACUAAUUACAGUGAUUAUCCCUUGGACCUAGUCUAGAUCUGGCUGAUGUUCCUGUUGUGAUGAACGUAUGAAACAAAUACUACAACUUGCCUUUCUCUGUUCCUUGGAGGGGCCUGGAAGGCACCGCGAUGUGCGUUCCUGAUGAAAGUUCUGCUCUGUCACCCGGGGCCAUCUGUUCACUUCCCGUCCACCUCGGCCCUCACACGUUGGCAGGGCGGUGGGCUGAGGAGAGGCUGAGGAAUAUACUGAUUCAGUAGUUUGAUCCAUGUGUAAUUUGAUAACCGGGGUUUAUGCUGCAGCUUCACUUUUUCUCUUGUGGAUGUAUAGUAGGUGGCAGCUGGGGAACAGUGCUCCUGAGGUACCUGUUGGGUUAGGGACGGUCUGGGCUUCACUGUUCCUUAAGAAGUUCUGACCCUGAUGCCAGGAGAGGUGUCUUUCCGGCUGUGAAGAUAAUUUCCCUCCUGUAAAAGGCUACAGCUUGCAAGACUUUAUUAUCAAACAUUUUAUUUGCCUUUCUCUUCUCCAUUUAUUUAGGACACAUUUUCUUUGUAUCUGGGAAUAGCUCCACUAUUCCCUGAGCAGGGCUGGGUAAUGGAGAAAGAACUGAUAUUCAAGGUAGAAAUGAAGUGUUGUCAUCUGGAAAAUCCUGCUGCUGCUGCCCGGAUGGUGCUGUAGUUUCUGAUGGUAGUAGUAAGUUGUGUUGUACAUCUGGUAGUGAGGGGAGUCUCCUGUCCUACCCAGCCUUCCCUGACACAGACCUCGUGGCACACUAACAACAAAAAUCGUGCUUGGUGCAUCUUGCUGCAGCUCUGCCUGCUCUGUUCUGCCACGUCUGCUUCUCAGCUUCCUGGGUUCUGCAGGAUGGAUUUCAGCCCUUGCUCCCAGUCUCCACACACCCUCUUCCCAUCAGCCUCAGCCUUUCAUUGCCCUGGAAGAGCAGCCGUAGAGCUCAGUUAUGUCUUCAGAAUUUGGUAGCUGAGCAGCUCUUCCUUUCUCAGAGUUUCAUGAGUGCAGUGAAAUUUUAACUUUCAAGAGGAGGGUUUAGUUACAGUCCAGGAUGAUGGUUUGGAAAGGCUUUGUGGCAAUGGAACGGCAGUUUUUAAUUGCAGUUUUGCACCUGAAUUUUCCAGACUAGAUGCUCUUCUCUUCUCUGACAGCUUCUGUGAUUGAUUCUAUGGCCUGUUCUUUUCCAUGACAGGAUACUCAUGUACUUCAGGGAUAGGGAAAACAUGCCAUUCCCGACAAGGGAAAACGGUCAUUGCCAGGCAGUUAAGGGUAUGGAAAGAACUUCCCUCUCUAGGUGGAGGAAGAAGUAAAUGAGGGAUUAUCAUCCCUCCCAUGAUCACUCUUGCUUUAGAGCAUGUAAACUAGAGAUGGGUGCCUGUAGUGUGUCUGCGCUUCACCUAAUGCUCUUCUGCCAGACUUGUUUAAAAAUCCUGUUCAUUUGAGAAGCAAAAAACUUGAUUUGUUCCUGCAGAAGCAUCAUCUAUUCAGAUGAAUUAUUCUGGUGUGAGGGGCUUCAAAAGUGAAUGAUGCCACACAUUCUUGCUGCCCAUUGCACAAGUGAACUGAUCUGUAUGUGCUCUGCAAGUCACGUGUGCUGAGGGAUGUUAAAUUACUGCAUAACCUGGAGGGUAAUCAGUAAUUCAGAUUUUAGAUUCAUCCAACUCUUAAUUUUGCAGCAUCCUUGCAAAAAGUGGGAAGGUGUAUGAUAGUUGGGAUUUCUGUAUCUUGGCACCACUCUGAAUGCUGUAAAUCAACAGUGUAAGUAACAUGCAUACUUUUUUUUUAACUUAAAUGUUUAGUAACAUAAUUAUUAUAAACUCUCUUAAAUCUUCCUUCUCUUAAAAAUGAGUACACUGACUGGUUUUCAUCGUGGUGCAAAGUGUUAUGUAAAAUCAUUGUAAGUUCUGAUAAAAAUGUUUUUAAGUAUCUGAAUGAAAAUGCAGCAUCACUAUGAAAGUAGAAAAAGUGUUAAAGUGGAUGUGGUUCCAAAUGAUGUGCUGCAAAAUGAAGGUUUCCCUGGUUUUGAGAGCAGGUUUUAAGCACUGAUAAUACCCCAUGGGGGGCAAUCGCACACCCCGGGGAAGAAGUUGGGGUACAGUUUGUAUUUGUCAGGGAUUGCUACAGGAAAUCUGCUUUAGCCGUGGGUUUUUACUUGGUUUUGUAAUUACCUGUCACUGCUUGGCUCUGUGAGUCAGUCGGUUACGGACGAGCUGGUUUCAGGCCGGGCGGUGCCCCCGCGGUUGCCUGUCCUGUCCGGGCGGUGCCGGUGCCGCGGUGCUUUGGCAUCGCCUCGUCCCGCCCGGUACCGGGAUGUGGAGGUGCCGCGGGCGGAGCGGGGCCGCCGGCUCAGGCGGCUGGAGUUGUCCGUCCCUGCGGCAUCGCCGGAGGACGAGGGUUUCCAGCGCGCCCCGUUUCCAGCUGCCCCCGUGUCUGUACGGACGCGGAAUCCCCACAGGAGGGUGCUGUGAAGGCACUGAAUGUGCAGGUUUGCGGGAGGAGACAGCGAUUGUAGGGCAGCCACCGGCGUGGCUCUGGCGAGGGCAGCGCCUGAGCCGCCCCGGGGAGGGCUGCGGGCGGAGCUCAGCGCCGGGCUCGCAGCAUCCCGCUGCCUGCCCGGGGGCUCCCACGUCUGGGUGUUGGAGCGCAAGUGAUGGCAGCGGGAAUGCCAACGCCCGGCUGCUGCAGGGUCGAGCGAGUGGUAGCCACAAAGUGUCCCAGGGCUGUUCCCGUGCCUCCCGCUCGCAGCAGGUACUGGGACCCUUCCCCAUGAGCGUUGGUCGUGUGACUUCUUGACAACGAGCCUUGGGGCCACCCAGCUACUUUCCUGUCUGUAUAUAGUAUGUUUAGUCUGCACAAGCAGCAAAAUGCAUUUGCUUGCAGUAGAGCCUCAAAGUUCUGUCCUAAAAUACUUUGUAAGUUGGACCCUUUUAUUCAGUGUGAUCAGAUGAGAAAUAACGGUGAGACUUCCCUUUGGUUUCUGGCUGUACAACUUUUUUCCAAAUAUUUUAAUCAAAGGUAUGAUUCCUUUUACAUAGUACAUGCUCAUGUCAAAAAACUUCUCUGACAAGGCCAGUUAAGCAGCACUUCCAAGGGAUUCUCCCUUCUGCUGGGUGCUGCUUCACCCUGAAAUUCUGUGAUCUUUUUAAAGUAAACAACCCUCUAUCCCAGGGGCUGCAUGCGUCUGCUCUGCCCCUCGCUUCCUUCUGCUUUUUGCUUUUAAAAUAAACUUUUGAAACCAAGUAGAAAAAGAAACUGAAGUAGAGACUUCUCUUUGGGAUGACCUCUAGGACAUUUGGGGGGAUUCAGUCUAAUUCUGUUACAUGGAGCGUGGGAACUCCGAUGCCUUCCUUUAAUGGCAGCAAGAUCAACUGAUGGAGCUGUGGUAGUGGGGGAGUGUAAAAUUGGCUGCUUAGUACAUGAAAGUACAUCGCUCUGAAACUCGGGGCUGGGAUCUGUGUGCGAGUCCCCACGGGGGUUCUCUGCCAGCCGCGGGGCAUCGCUGCACGUGCCGGGUCAGUGCCCACGUUCGGUGUUUGGAUGAAGGACCAUGUCUGGCAGCAACGGUGCUUUGUGUUACCCUGUGGGUUUGGCACUCAUCUGAAACUGCAUCACCAAAACCUUUUGGUGGGAUGGGUGAUCCUGGAGCUUGGCUAAUACACGCUGUGGAAGAGGUGCCUGGCGGCAGUGGGAGCUUUGCCUCAGCACCCACAUGGCAGGACCGAGCUGGUCUUGUGUCUGAACGCUGUUAGAUCAGCUGCAGGCGCUUACAAAUGGACUUGGAUUUUGGCCCUGUAAAGGGAGACAUUCAGCUUCCGGGGGGAAUUCUGCCUUGGCAGUAACAGCCGUAGUUUGGUGGUUUCUGUUACCAGGCAGAAUCUGUUUGGAUGUUAGAAAAUUAGAGCAUAAAUUCCUGCAGCAGUCAGCUGUGUCUGCGUCACCUCCGUGACCUCUUAACUGCUGCUCCUGUGAACAGUUGCCACUAAACACAGUCAAUAACCCCCUUCUGCAUUCCAUUGGAUCGUCUCCUCCUGCCGUCUCAAAUGAAAAAUAAACAAAAGAGCUUAAGCGUGCAGUGUGCUAAAUAGAGUAAUAAGCUGUGAAAAUAUUUUAUGGGGGAAUCUGGGGCAAGAGCUGUCAGCAGGAGUGAGCUGAUUGGAGCUGCAGCAGAAUGGCUCUGGGAGGCGGGCGUGGGGACAAUGAAGGGAGAUUUGUUCAAAUGUAUGUCUGCUUUUGGUUUUUUACCCCUCUCUGAGUAGUUUUAGGAAAUCCCUCCCAUCCCUCCCUCCAUAAAUGGGUUACCUCUGCACAUCAGAAGGCCUUGGCUCUAAGUACCCGCUACGCUGCUCCUGUGAUGAUUUGACUUUGCCUGUUUAAUGUAAAACAGGUUUUAAUCUUCUCAUUUAGAUGUUUUAAUAGAAAGUAAAUGUUUAACUUGCUUUGCUGUGGUAUCCAAAUCUUUAAUCCAUGGGACUGUUUUUAAUGAAACGAGAACAUGCUUUUGUUUAAAGUAGGUGUUACAGCGCAGGGGAGGCUGUGGGCAGUGGCGCUGGCGUGGGCUAUCGCAGACCCACAUCAGAUAUUUUUGGCACUGGUGGAUCCUGGGUUCGGGGAUGGUGGGUUUAGGAAUGUGCAGGGGAGAGCGGUGAAAACCCCAUCUCAGGAUAGUCUGACUAUGGGAAGUAGGGAAGGGUCUGUAACAAUGCUGUAAGUACAGUGUCAGUGAUUCCUGCCCCCGAAUUCAGUCAUGGCUUUUCCCAGAAAUUUUUUUGGAGUCCUACCUGUGUUCUGAUGAUGUUACAAGUGUGUUGCUGCUCCAGCGAGGGAGAGCCAAGCAGAGCUGGUGUGCUUGUGAAGGAAACUGCUAAGUAGGCAGCACUGGGUUUGGUUCCUGCACACAAAAGGGGGGUUCUGCUCUUCUGUAGCCACUUAGCUUGUUUAUGAUUUAAUUUAAUUUGUUAAAAAAAGCAUUUGUGGCUCCAGGACACACAUAGAGCUGGCAGAGUAACAGGCCAAAGUCAAAACUGAUCAAGGGGUGGAACACACAGUUAAUGUAGAUAGAAACCACCUGGGGGCAAGCCCAGGCACCUGUGCCCACUUUGGGGCAGGACCCAGAGCUCUUUGCCCCUUCAGAUGCAUAUUCUGCCCCAAAUUAAAAUUGGGAUUUUUUUAAGGCUGAAAGUCCAGCAAGUCUUGGAAGCCGGAGAGUGCUGCUGAAGGAUUUACCUGUGUGUUUCCCACCAGCCCAUGCUGCCAGGAGGGAACUGCCAUUCAGGGCAGCUGGAGGCAGAGAGGCGCCUACAGGUGCUCCAUAAACACCACUUCCCCCCUCGGAAAGCCAACUGCGCUGAUACAGCUUUGACUGGGUAAAUAAAGUGCUCUGAUUUCCAGGCCUGUGUUUUAAAUUGUCGAGCUCUAAUUAUGUAAGUGCCAGUGUUAUAAAUAGCGGGUGCAGCUGGCAAGCCCCGACCAUGGUGUGCCAAGGCGCUGGCGCUCGCUAGCGAAACUGGGGGCAUGGUUCUCUCUCUUUGCUGUUUUGGCUUUUCCCUUCGUGCUCCGUGCUUUCCCCACGUGGGCUCAUAGGGGCUGGUCCCCGUGGCCAGGCUUACCAUCCUUCCUGGGACAGGGGCCAGCUCGGGGGCAGGAGCAUCCUGUGGCACCUGGAUUUGUACCUGGUCUGUGUGUCAGCCAGGCUGUGUGUAAAAGGCAAAGAGAAGAAAACUAUUGGUAAAACAAUAAAUACUUCAAAACCAUUCACUCCUUCAGCGUCAUUACACUUCAGGGGCUGGUGCUGCAUCACAGGCGUGUGGAAAAUGGUGUCACACGGGGUGUCCCAGCAGUGUCUGCAGUGAAGGAUUCACUGUUCUCCACAAGAUGACCGGGGAGAGGUUGGCGUCCAUCCACGGGGAAACAGCUGCUCCAUCGCUGUGCACCAGAGGGAUGAGUUGGGUUUACAGCAUAGUAACUUAAAUGUUUAAUUUUCUGAGUUGUAGUUGUUCUAAUUAAAUGAAUUUGAAUUCUUUUUAAA